rnacentral:rRNA from 1 species
UACGUAGGGCGCAAGCGUUUGUCCGGAAUUAUUGGGCGUAAAGAGCUCGUAGGCGGUUUGUCGCGUCUGCUGUGAAAACCUAAGGCUCAACCUUGGGCUUGCAGUGGGUACGGGGCAGACUAGAGUGCGGUAGGGGUGACUGGAAUUCCUGGUGUAGCGGUGGAAUGCGCAGAUAUCAGGAGGAACACCGAUGGCGAAGGCAGGUCACUGGGCCGCAACUGACGCUGGAGGAG